rnacentral:rRNA from 1 species
GACGAAUGCUGGCGGCGUGCCUAAUACAUGCAAGUUGAGCGAUGAAGAUUGGUGCUUGCACCAAUUUGAAGAGCAGCGAACGGGUGAGUAACGCGUGGGGAAUCUGCCUUUGAGCGGGGGACAACAUUUGGAAACGAAUGCUAAUACCGCAUAACAACUUUAAACAUAAGUUUUAAGUUUGAAAGAUGCAAUUGCAUCACUCAAAGAUGAUCCCGCGUUGUAUUAGCUAGUUGGUGAGGUAAAGGCUCACCAAGGCGAUGAUACAUAGCCGACCUGAGAGGGUGAUCGGCCACAUUGGGACUGAGACACGGCCCAAACUCCUACGGGAGGCAGCAGUAGGGAAUCUUCGGCAAUGGACGAAAGUCUGACCGAGCAACGCCGCGUGAGUGAAGAAGGUUUUCGGAUCGUAAAACUCUGUUGGUAGAGAAGAACGUUGGUGAGAGUGGAAAGCUCAUCAAGUGACGGUAACUACCCAGAAAGGGACGGCUAACUACGUG